rnacentral:misc_RNA from 1 species
UCCCACUCAUCGUGGGCAGUCUCUCCAGAGUGCCCCCUUGCGGGUGGCAACAGGAAAUGGGGGUUGCGCUCGUUGCGGGACUUAACCCAACACCUCACGACACGAGCUGACGACAGCCAUGCAGCACCUGUGUAAGCUGGUAUUGCUACCUCGUUAGACUUUCAUCCUUCUACUACCUACAUGUCAAGGCCAGGUAAGGUUCUUCGCGUUGCAUCGAAUUAAGCCACAUACUCCACCGCUUGUGCAGGCCCCCGUCAAUUUCUUUGGGUUUUAAUCUUGCGACCGUACUUCCCAGGCGGCACAUUUAACGCGUUGGCUACGCCACAAAAGGGGUCGAUUCCUUUUACAGCAAAUAUGCACCGUUUACGGCUAGGACUAC